rnacentral:rRNA from 1 species
GAUGAACGCUAGCGGCAGGCCUAACACAUGCAAGUCGAGGGGCAGCACAAAAAGUAACUUGUUACUUUUGGUGGCGACCGGCGGACGGGUGCGUAACGCGUAUGCAACCUACCUUUUACAGGGGGAUAACGGAUGGAAACGUCCACUAAUACCCCAUAACAUCAGAACCGGCAUCGGUUUUGGUUGAAAACUCCGGUGGUAAGAGAUGGGCAUGCGUUGUAUUAGGUAGUUGGUGAGGUAAUGGCUCACCAAGCCUACGAUACAUAGGGGGACUGAGAGGUUAGCCCCCCACACUGGUACUGAGACACGGACCAGACUCCUACGGGAGGCAGCAGUGAGGAAUAUUGGUCAAUGGGGGCAACCCUGAACCAGCCAUGCCGCGUGCAGGAAGACGGCUCUAUGAGUUGUAAACUGCUUUUAUACAGGGAUAAUUACAAAUACGUGUAUUUGUUUGAAGGUACUGUAAGAAUAAGGAUCGGCUAACUCCGUGCCAGCAGCCGCGGUAAUACGGAGGAUCCAAGCGUUAUCCGGAUUUAUUGGGUUUAAAGGGUGCGUAGGCGGCACAGUAAGUUAGCGGUGAAAUCGUGGGGCUUAACCCCGCAACUGCCGUUAAAACUGCUGAGCUAGAGAGUAGAUGCGGUAGGCGGAAUGUGUAGUGUAGCGGUGAAAUGCUUAGAGAUUACACAGAACACCGAUUGCGAAGGCAGCUUACUAAUCUAUGUCUGACGUUGAGGCACGAAAGCGUGGGUAGCAAACAGGAUUAGGUACCCUGGUAGUCCACGCUGUAAACGAUGAUUGCUAGGUGUGGGGGGACUGACCCCUUCCGUGCCGGAGUUAACACAAUAAGCAAUCCACCUGGGGAGUACGGCCGCAAGGUUGAAACUCAAAUGAAUUGACGG